rnacentral:rRNA from 1 species
GACGAACGCUGGCGGCGUGCUUAACACAUGCAAGUCGAACGGAAAGGCCUUUUCGGAGGUACUCGAGUGGCGAACGGGUGAGUAACACGUGGGUGAUCUGCCCUGCACUCUGGGAUAAGCCUGGGAAACUGGGUCUAAUACCGGAUAGGACCGCACUUUAGUGUGUGUGGUGGAAAGUUUUUUCGGUGUAGGGUGAGCCCGCGGCCUAUCAGCUUGUUGGUGGGGUAAUGGCCUACCAAGGCGGCGACGGGUAGCCGGACUGAGAGGUUGGUCGGCCACAUUGGGACUGAGAUACGGCCCAGACACCGACGGGAGGCAGCAGUGGGGAAUAUUGCACAAUGGGCGCAAGCCUGAUGCAGCGACGCCGCGUGGGGGAUGACGGCCUUCGGGUUGUAAACUCCUUUCGCCAGGGACGAAGCGUUUUGUGACGGUACCUGGAGAAGAAGCACCGGCUAACUACGUG